AAGCAAGUCGAGCGGAGUCUGCGUGCAUAGCGACGAAUGGGUGAGUAACACGUGCUUAAUCUACCUCUUAGAUUGGGAUACCUAAUGGAAACAUUGGUUAAUACCGGAUACGCAUGGAAUCGCAUGAUUCCGUUGUGAAAGAAGCCUUUAAAGCUUCACUAAGAGAUGAGGGUGCGGAACAUUAGCUAGUUGGUGAGGUAAUGGCUCACCAAGGCUGUGAUGUUUAGCCGGGUCGAGAGACUGAACGGCCACAUUGGGACUGARAUACGGCCCAAACUCCUACGGGAGGCAGCAGUAGGGAAUAUUCCACAAUGAGCGAAAGCUUGAUGGAGCGACACAGCGUGCACGAUGACGGUCUUCGGAUUGUAAAGUGCUGUUAUAAGGAAAGAACACUUCAAUGAGGAAAUGCUUUGAAGCUGACGGUACCUUAUCAGAAAGCGAUGGCUAACUAUGUGCCAGCAGCCGCGGUAAUACAUAGGUCGCAAGCGUUAUCCGGAAUUAUUGGGCGUAAAGCGUUCGUAGGYUGUUUAUUAAGUCUGAAGUCAAAUCCUAGGGCUCAACCCUGGCUCGCUUUGGAUACUGGUAAACUAGAGUUAGAUAGAGGUAAGCGGAAUUCCAUGUGAAGCGGUGAAAUGCGUAGAUAUAUGGAAGAACACCAAAGGCGAAGGCAGCUUACUGGGUCUAUACUGACGCUGAGGGACGAAAGCGUGGGGAGCAAACAGGAUUAGAUACCCUGGUAGUCCACGCCGUAAACGAUGAUCAUUAGUCGGUGGAAAAUCGCUGACGCAGCUAACGCAUUAAAUGAUCCGCCUGAGUAGUAUGCUCGCAAGAGUGAAACUUAAAGGAAUUGACGGGGACCCGCACAAGCGGUGGAGCAUGUGGUUUAAUUUGAAGAUACACGGAAAACCUUACCCACUCUUGACAUCCUUCGCAAAGCUAUAGAGAUAUAGUGGAGGUUAACAGAGUGAC
rnacentral:rRNA from 1 species